rnacentral:rRNA from 1 species
UUCUCCUGGAAACGGGUGGUAAUGCCGGAUGUUCCACAUGAUCGCAUGUGAUUGUGGGAAAGAUUCUAUCGGCGUGGGAUGGGGUCGCGUCCUAUCAGCUUGUUGGUGAGGUAACGGCUCACCAAGGCUUCGACGGGUAGCCGGCCUGAGAGGGCGACCGGCCACAUUGGGACUGAGAUACGGCCCAGACUCCUACGGGAGGCAGCAGUGGGGAAUAUUGCACAAUGGGCGCAAGCCUGAUGCAGCGACGCCGCGUGAGGGAUGGAGGCCUUCGGGUUGUAAACCUCUUUUGUUUGGGAGCAAGCCUUCGGGUGAGUGUACCUUUCGAAUAAGCGCCGGCUAACUACGUGCCAGCAGCCGCGGUAAUACGUAGGGCGCAAGCGUUAUCCGGAUUUAUUGGGCGUAAAGGGCUCGUAGGCGGCUCGUCGCGUCCGGUGUGAAAGUCCAUCGCUUAACGGUGGAUCUGCGCCGGGUACGGGCGGGCUGGAGUGCGGUAGGGGAGA